rnacentral:rRNA from 1 species
UACGUAGGUGGCAAGCGUUGUCCGGAUUUAUUGGGUUUAAAGGGUGCGUAGGCGGUUUAAUAAGUCAGUCGUUAAAGGCAUCAGCUUAACUGGUGUAAGGCGAUUGAUACUGUUAGACUUGAAUUCUUGGGAGGUACAUGGAAUGCGUGGUGUAGCGGUGAAAUGCAUAGAGAUCACGCGGAACGCCGAUUGCGGAGGCAUUGUACUACUAAGAGAUUGACGCUGAGGCACGAAAGUGUGGGGAGCAAACAGG